AUAUAAAAAAAAAAAGUAUUAUACUAACUUAUAAUUUUUAAGGGGCAAUUGCUUAUAUACCUCUGAAAAGUUUUUGACUUUUUAAUUUAUCCCUCUUAGAAGGCUAAUAUUGACGAUACCCUUUUUACAUUUCAAUUAGAAUUAAAAUUUAUUAAUGAACUCUGUUAUAUAUGUAAAAUUACUAUUUUGCCCUUUCAAAUAUACCCUUCUACUAUCACCGAUUUUUCUUAUUUGUCCUUAAGUUAGGGGCACAAAAAGUAUUUUGCUUUUUGGUCUUUUCAAAUAUACCCUUCUACCACACCAACAUUUCUUAUUUGAUCUUAAGUUAAGGACAAAAAUGGCAUUUUAAUUUUUUUAACUGUGGUAGAUAUUUAACUAACGUUUAACCCAAAUUAACUUAACAGGUGAUAACUGUAGGGGUAUUUUAAAAUAACGGAGGAACAUAUCAGGGGUAUAUUGGAAAGAAAAAAAAAAAAGUAGGGGUAAAUAAAAUAU
rnacentral:lncRNA from 1 species